GGCCGUGGCAAAGAAGGCAGGCCGCUCCUCACUGCCCCACGGAAGUGUGCGGCGACGCGGGGCCGCUGGGAACCCCGAGGAGAGCUGGAGCCCAGGAAGGUGACGCAGCAAGUGUAGACAAGACGGCGAGAGGCUGGGAGCCGCACAAGAACGUGAGGCGGAGGCAGCUUUCUUCUGUUUCAAAAAUGGGGAAGACGGGAGCAAAUUUAAAUGCUGCUGGAAGGUUCCAGCAGAGACGGAUAAAGGGGAAGGACGUGGGGGAAGAGUCCUGCGGAGGCUGGUCCUCGCACACACCUGCCAGACCGUCAUCGGGGACGUCAAGUGAAGCAACGGGGUCCCGAAUGAAACUUGCUCAGAGCUACCGCGCACUCCUCAGUCACGUCUCGGGACCCUCGCACCCACAUAGGAGCCACCGGACGAUCGCCCGGUCUCGAGACCUCCAAGAUCCUUAAUGACAUGUGCAAAGGCCCGUUGCCGUGGAAGAGCAAGACAGAGGAAGAUCAAGACUCAUCUGUAUUCAGUUGCUCCACUGGACACAUCCAAGAGUCAUCGUUCGUGCGUUACUCUUACUUCCUAGAACAUUCUACGUGUCCAUGACUAAGGGGGUGCGUGUAUGUGUGCGCAUUUAAUCGUAUUAUUUAUUCAUUUUUUUAAAUGUAUUUAUUUGAGAGACAGAGAGAGCGGGGGUGGGGGGGUGGUCAGAGAGAGAGGGGGGGAGAGAGAAUCCCACGCAGGCUCCGUGCCGUCAGUGCAGAGCCCAAGGCGGGGCUCCAACUCACGAACCUCGAGAUCGUGAGCUGAGCCGAAACAGAGAGUUGGACGCUUAACCGGCUGAGCCACCCAGGCGCCCCGGCGCGCGUUUGAUUUUACAGGCAGUGUGGUGUCAGGGCAGUUCGGCCUCUGACUCAGAGGUUCUGAGUUCCAGUUCUGACUCAGCCACUCAUCGCAUGAGCUGGAAGAAGUCAUGAUCUUCCCGGAACUUCGGCUUCCUCAAACAUCUGGAGAUGAUCAAGAAAUCCCAAGGUGACACCAAGGUGACUCCCAGCUCCAGGAGUCUGCUUCCCUCUCUCCUCCCAUUCCUAGCCUGGGAUGUUGGAAGCAUUUCUCCAUCAACACCAGGAGAAAAGAAGGUAGAAAUGGCUUCGAGGAACGAGACGUGUGACUUUAGACGACACUAACAUAUUGAAAGAUUCUAAAUAGGGUGAGAAUUACUUUUUCGUCUUGUGCUUGAGCAGUAAACACUGUGUUGUUCGUGUCCGGAGGUCGACGCCCGCGGAGGUGGGUCUCUGCUGCAUCACCCACUGCCCUCUCCUCUCACGGGCUGUGUGAAGCGUGUUAAACAGACGCGGGUCCCCGGAGGGGCCCCGCGCUCAUGGGUGAGCUCCUUUGGGGAGGCAAGUACGUCUGGCCCCCGGCUCUCGUGACAGCCUAUCUCUGUCUGUCCCUGUGCCCGGGGAAGGUGCGAAUGGUCCCUCAGGGUGGGGUGGGGGGUCUGGGGUAGGCUCCCCGCUCCCCAGCCCCCCGCGGCGCCUCCCUGCCCGCCUCCUGCAGCCCCACCGUCCACGCGGCCUCCUCUCCAAAGAGAACAUAGCUGCGGAAGUCACAGCUCCUCUAACACAGCGAAGCAGAUUGACUCCGUCCGGUGUGGCCGCUUCGUAGGCGCUGGAUGGUUCCAGUCGGGGCUGGAGGACGGGCGUCUGGCGUGUGUCCCACAGGCGUUACCUCUCCUGCCCGCUCUGGUCCUGACCUGAAUCUACUGCAUCAUCGGCUCAGCAUUAUCGAUUGGUCCUGUGCUGUCCUUUCCAAGCUGGGAGACCAUCCAAUUGGAGACAGGACAGCUUCCAGGAGUUUGGUCCCAGAGGCUGGGAGAACUGCCCUGCUGUCCAAGGCUCGGCUCAGCGGUCCUACUGUGAUGCUCUCAGAAGGAGACGGUUUGUGGCUCUCCUGAUGCCCCAGCACCUAUCCUGGCUCUAGUGCACGUGCUAUCCAACACCACUGGAAACCCUCUGCAAGCUGGGUUUGCGUCUUCACCAUCGGGGGUUCCCCACAGUACGUAACACAGGCAAGUUACGCUCCAAGCGUCCCAGUGCCUCAUGGCCACCACGCCCUGAGCUCGGACUUGGGUUUCCCUCCGCCGUGUUGGGUGGGACCAGCUGGACCACAAUAUGGGGGACAGAGUUUCUGUCCUUCCCCUUCCAGCAGCCUUCAGGCUCAGGGUACGAGACACAGUGAUGUAUUAGUGAACAGACACCUCAAAAUUCAGUGCCACCUGCUUGCAGGGCGCUUGGAUUCAGGCUGAUGUGUUGCAGGCGGGGGGGA